rnacentral:rRNA from 1 species
UACGUAGGGGGCAAGCGUUGUCCGGAAUCAUUGGGCGUAAAGCGCGUGUAGGCGGCUCGAUAAGUCUGCUGUGAAAGUCCAGGGCUCAACCCUGGGAUGCCGGUGGAUACUGUCGAGCUCGAGUCCGGAAGAGGCGAGUGGAAUUCCUGGUGUAGCGGUGAAAUGCGCAGAUAUCAGGAAGAACACCAAUAGCGAAGGCAGACUCGCUGGGACGUUACUGACACUGAGGCGCGAAAGCGUGGGGAGCGAACAGG